rnacentral:tRNA from 1 species
GGGGCGUUAGCUCAGUUGGUAGAGCAUCUGACUUUUAAUCAGGUGGUCGCAGGUUCGAAUCCUGCACGCCCCACCA